rnacentral:rRNA from 1 species
AUGCCUGCUAUCCCUGAGGGUUAUCUUUUUGAUGCUGAAUCUUCUGCAGCUAUUUUUGCUUGCCAGGAUAGAUAUGAACUUAAGAGGUUGCUAAUUAAAUGGAGUAAAGAAUCUUUUAGAGAUUGGAUGAGACCUGACCCUGCUUUUGCUACUUCGCCUAUCUGUGUUCCUGAUCAGGACUAUUAUGAUUUUUCUGUCGAUCCAGAUAUAAUUACUUUGGUUGAAUCUGAUCCUUUUUAUGACUGUGAAUCUGAGACCAUUGUGGCACAUCUUACUAAGUUAAAUGAUAUAGCUGCCCUGUUUACUAAUAAUGAGAGAUCGCGCUACCUUUAUUUACUUAAGAUAUUUUCGUUCUCAUUAAAGGGUGAUGCUAAGAUAUGGUAUAAUUCUCUUGAUCCUGGCUGUGUGCAAAGUCCCCAGGAUAUGAUUUAUUACUUCUCUGCUAAAUAUUUCCCCGCUAAUAAGAAACAAGCUACUUUGAGGGAAAUAUACAAUUUUGUGCAAAUUGAAGAAUAG